AUUGAACGCUGGCGGAAUGCUUUACACAUGCAAGUCGAACGGCAGCACGGACUUCGGUCUGGUGGCGAGUGGCGAACGGGGGAGUAAUACAUCGGAACGUGCCCAAUCGUGGGGGAUAACGUAGCGAAAGCUACGCUAAUACCGCAUACGAUCUAAGGAUGAAAGCGGGGGAUCGCAAGACCUCGCGCGCUUGGAGCGGCCGAUGGCGGAUUAGGUAGUUGGUAGGGUAAAGGCCUACCAAGUCGACGAUCUGUAGCUGGUCUGAGAGGAUGAUCAGCCACACUGGGACUGAGACACGGCCCAGACUCCUACGGGAGGCAGCAGUGGGGAAUUUUGGACAAUGGACGCAAGUCUGAUCCAGCCAUUCCGCGUGCAGGAUGAAGGCCCUCAGGUUGUAAACUGCUUUUGUACAGAACGAAAAGGUUUCUACUAAUACUAGGAGCUCAUGACGGUACUGUAAGAAUAAGCACCGGCUAACUACUUGCCAGCAGCCGCCGUAA
rnacentral:rRNA from 1 species